UUACUCGUAUAUUUUUUCAUCCAUUUCAUUAUUACAACAUUUAUUACAAGGCAGUCUCCAUUGUAUUACAUCCCUAAUAGUUAAGCAGUCGAAGACUUCACAAGCUAUACAUAUACAAUAUUAUAAAAACAAUAAAUACCUUUUAAUUCUAGUUACCUAUGUAUAUACGAUUUGAUUGUGUCAUCACAAAAGAAUAUUUAAAAAUAUAUAGGUAGAUAAAUAAGUUAAGACCCAGUUGCCCCAUUUGACUAUACCAAAAACAAAACCAUAAACUUAUCGGCGAUUUUUCAAAUCGGCGACAACUGCGAAUGGUUCCGUUAUCGUUACAUAUAGUUAAAUGGUGCAACUUAGAAUGUUUGCAUUACCAUUACGUAUAUACUUACACAAAUAAAAUACUAAAGCAUACUUUGCUCACUAAAAUAGAGCUAAAUACUACUUUAUAUUUUAGUCCACACUGUUUUUUCGAUAACUUCAGUUUCGCAGAAAUAGUCUUGAUAGCGCUUUCACACCAGCGGAUUUUCCAGAAAUUUUCUCGUUUCUUUACCUUUACUUACCUUUAGAACAUCAAGGUACUAAAGUUUCCAACCAACGAUUAAUAAUUUCGUAUAUUAGAUACCUCUGAGUACCUAUGUUUUCUAGCCUCUUUCAGACAAAACUUACGUUGUGUUGCACCAUUUCACUGUAACGGUAACCGAAUAAUUUUCAGUUGUCAAAUCGCGGAUUUCACCAAUGGGCGGUCAGUAGACGACUGGUUUUAGCUUGGUCAUCGUUAUAGUUAAAUGGUGCAACUCACCUUAAAUCAAGGAAGAAGUACUUAUGCACUAUUUUCACAAGUUGUUAUUUCCCAAAGUCAGUUAUUGUAUGAAUCAUUCAUUCAUGUACAGAAAUAUACAAAGGGAUAGUGUUAUUGAUAUUCGUUCCUGUUGUCAUUACCCUGUAGAAAUACCAGUACUGACGCACGCGCAGCAAAGUGGUAGAAGAUAAAAAUAUAUAUGUCGGAGACUGUCAAUAGUACGGACACUAAACGUCACGCAAGCGCGCCCUCUGGUGGCGUUUCCGGUGAAACAACAUUUUGGCGCGCUUGGCAGAGUAGUGGUGGUCGGCGUGGCGUCCGCGGGGCUCAGUCUUCGUUGAGUCGUCGUGUUGCACACAUCUCGAAACUGCCUUACGUCACGUCUAGUGUAUCUAGUGUUAUUACCUAGUGUUGUAGUACCGUUGUAGAUCCAUAUUGUAAAUUGUAAAGUGUCGUUUGAAAUUAAAGUGUAAAGGUUCUUCUAACCUAACAGACAGACAUGUGUUGCUGGGGAGUUUGUUCCGCCACUUCUUCUCCCCAGCCAAAACACAUAGGAAGUGGCGAAGGGCGGGCGUUUUGGGGGUUGUCUUUUGUUCUGACCAAUUUGAAUAAACGUUUGAGUUUUGAGUUUGUUUAAGUUUCUUUGAGUUAUCUCUUUGUACGAUUACCCUAACUGAUGUCGGACGAUAGUGCCAUCCUUGAUGUUCGCCUCCGACAUCAGAAGUGGGAUGUAAUCCGAAUGCCCACAUGCGUUUCGAAUUCGCCAUGCGAAGAUAAAUUUCUACCCACUAACAAAAAAAAAAUGUAACGUCGAUAAUUCGAAAUGAAGUUUGUAGUAGAAGAUUUAUUAAGAAUUUCAGCGAAGGUACAAGUAUGGUAACCACGGUUAUGGUAAUGGUAUCGUUUUCCAUUGUUACAUGUCAAGCUACUUAUUGAGGGUAUGCUAGAAAAUUAACCGAAUUUGUCUUUUUUCAUGUUUCAACAAUGACGGUCGUUAUUGUGCAAUAUGGCGACAAAAUUACUGCGGAGCAUCCCAGCUGCCAGGAGCCUGACGUGUCAUCGUGAGGUCGGAGUGUUGGUGCUCGUGCAUCUACGUGGCUUCACGUCCGCGAAAGCCUUGCUGUACUGCGCGCCAUAACGAUGUGCGCAUCGUCAUGCGCGUUGAGGUGUUGAGUGGAAACCCGGUGAGACCGAUCCAUUUUUGCUUUAUGUUGAGGUUAUUUGUCUUACAACAUUUUUAAACCUGAGGCAGUUUCAGUCUCGUUGUUUAGUGGUAGUGCUCAUUAAUUGGUGGAAUCGUAGAUAAUCAGAAUCAGAAACCGUGAACCUAGGUUUGAUCCCAGAGUUGAAAAUUAUUAGUUAUCUGAUCUCAUCAAUAUCCUAAAGUUAGAAUAUUUCAGUUUUUGCGUCAUUUGAUUGAAUUGUGCAUCAGACGAUAGAUUUUUGGUAAAGUGUUACGUUCACCUACUCUGUAAUUUCGUUGCGCUAAGUUGUACCAAUGAUAGAGACCAGGGUGACUUGGAAAAGACCCGUUGGCCUGUGUGAUGGCAUCGGGGUGACCAAGAAGAGACCUGUGUGAAGUCUGCGGUACUGUUUUUAUUGUGUUAAGCUGUAACUAUGAUGGGUAUCGGGGUGACCUGGAAGAGACUCGUUGGCCUGUGUGACGGCAUCGGGGUGACCAGGAAGAGACCCGUAUACAUCUGUGGUACAGUUGGUGUCAUGUCACUAUAGUUGUGGUUGUGGUCCCUAGGAGGCCAGGAUGGGCUGAGAGCUCGGCUAAGGGACACGACGGUUUUGUGAAGCCUAUCGAGUAGAAGGCGUUGAUGUGAAUGACAACCGUAGCUGUAAUGAUUUUGUAAUUUACAAGUUCAGUCUGACUAGCAAUUCGAUCUUUCUUUGAUUUCGUGCUUAGAAUUUAAUGUAACUAGUUUCUUCAUUUAAAUGGUGAUUGCUAUUCUUAAAACCCAUAACGUGUUUAGGUCUUACCAUCGAGAAGGUUUGUUGCUGACCCAUAUGUUGUCAAUAUUUGAUGCCUAAGCACUUUUCAUUUCUGACUUAACAGAUAACAUCUAAGGUGAACGGAGCCUGGAGAACAGAACGAGGUCUACUAGGCAAGCGGCGGGCGAGGUGCGCUGCAGUGGCUGUUUGCAGCGUCGUCCUCCCCCAGAUUCGUCGUGGAGGCCGUAUGAGUUGCGGCAGGCCAGAACAUCGCGUCUUAUCGCACAAGAUUAAACGACCACGAGGACGUGGUCUACGCAGGAUGGCCGUGUCGGAGACUGUCAAUAGUACGGACACUAAACGUCACGCAAGCGCGCCCUCUGGUGGCGUUUCCGGUGAAACAACAUUUUGGCGCGCUUGGCAGAGUAGUGGUGGUCGGCGUGGCGUCCGCGGGGCUCAGUCUUCGUUGAGUCGUCGUGUUGCACACAUCUCGAAACUGCCUUACGUCACGUCUAGUGUAUCUAGUGUUAUUACCUAGUGUUGUAGUACCGUUGUAGAUCCAUAUUGUAAAUUGUAAAGUGUCGUUUGAAAUUAAAGUGUAAAGGUUCUUCUAACCUAACAGACAGACAUGUGUUGCUGGGGAGUUUGUUCCGCCACUUCUUCUCCCCAGCCAAAACACAUAGGAAGUGGCGAAGGGCGGGCGUUUUGGGGGUUGUCUUUUGUUCUGACCAAUUUGAAUAAACGUUUGAGUUUUGAGUUUG
rnacentral:lncRNA from 1 species